AAAUUGUCUAGCUCAGUUGGUAGAGCACAGGCUCUUUACCUUGUGGUUGCGGGUUUGACCCCCACAGUUUG
rnacentral:tRNA from 7 species